ACAAAUAAACAGAGUUUAAAUAUAACAGAUAAAAUACUAUUUGAAAAAUUACUUAAUGUUUUGAUAAAAAAAAAUAUUUGCUUUGUAAAACCUAGACAUUUCCUCAUGUGUUGUUAUACAUUAAUUAUACAUACAUAUUUUACGAAUGUUGAUGUAGCUUAUUAUUUUUUGAAAAACUGUACUAAACUGAUUUCCAAGUUAAAACAGAAGGUUUAUAUUAACAAUUUUUUGUUUGUAUUAACAGGAUUUGUACAAAAUGGAUUUUUGUUUUGUAAAAAGAUGAAUAAUAAAUUUAGUGGUCACGGUAUUACUAAUAAUACAUAUGAUAGGGAUUCUUACUACGAUACGUAUCCUACGAUAUACAUUAACAACAAAACAAACGACAUGACUAAUUUAAAAAUAGGAAACAAACAUUUUGAAGAAAUGAAUAAUGAAAUAACCAGUUUUGGACUAGUAGAAGCACAGAAAAAUGAUAAAAAAAAAAACACACAAACUAUGAAUGCGAGGUUAGCUAUUCUAUACAUAUUCAACGAAAUAAUUAAUUUGGAUUAUGAUUUAAAUGUAAAACAAAUUUUACUGUAUAUACAAUUAUUUGCAAGUUAUAAUAUUAAAUUGAAUAGCGAAAUUAAACAAAAAAUUUGCCAUUUGAUUAGUAACAGCGUUCAUGAUUUAGUUUCUUCUAUAAAUUUGGUUCUGCAACUAUCCAUUAAAAUAUUUGAAAUAAACAGUGAUUAUUUUAAAAAUAUAGCUACUACUUUUUUAGAUAAAAUGAAUUGUGAGUUGGUGCAGUUUUAUAGUAUUUUGAUCAAUAAUUCGAAACAGUAUUUUUUUGACUGUAUUGUGAAAGGGGCAGGUGGUGGUACAAGUUACGACACGAUUGACCAAAAUGCAAAUAUGCAUUACGCCUACUUAACCAAUAUAGACACUCUAGGAAACACCUUGUUUAUAUUUGAUCAAGUUGAUCUUAAUAAAAAAGAAUUCAUAUUAAAUGUUAUUAAUCUUUUGUCUAUUCACAAUUAUUUAUUAUUAAAAUAUAAAAAAAUAAAUUUCAAUUCACUUGUUUAUGUACUUCAUUAUAUUUGUUCUAGUUAUAUAGAUACAGAAGAAUAUGUUAAAUUGGUGGGUUUUAUUAUGAUUAAUAUGCGUAUGUAUAUAGAUUCAUGUUAUCGACAGUAUGUGCAAACUGUUGGUAAAAAAAUGGACGUAUGUGUCGUAAAUCGUGAGAAGGACAGUGCUACUGUUAGCGGUGGUAAUAAUACUAGUACUAACAACAGUAGUAUAAGCAAUAGUAGUGACGAUAAUAGUGAAGAAGCAUGUACUGCGGAAGAGUGUGCAUUUGAUGGAGUGAGUCAUGACAUUAUAAAAGAUAAAAUAUAUAUAAAGGAUAUAAUUAUAUUUUUAGAUUUUAUGCGCAUUAGCAAGUUAUAUAUUAACGAUACUGUUUUAGGCACUUUGAUCGAAAUGGUAUGUUAUACCUGCUUGCACACGUUCGUACGUUCCAUUGGUGUUAUUUCGCAUGUUAUUCGGUUAUAACUACAUACAUACGACUAAGUGGAUGUAUUGACAUGUGAAUAU
ensembl:lncRNA